CGUUAUGGCGGCUGUGCGCGGGAGACCUUCGGGUCAACCGGGUUCUCCGUUCCCCGGGUUUCCAACCUGCGUACAGCUGCCACCUAU
rnacentral:antisense_RNA from 4 species